CCUGGUGAGGGAGCAGAGCGCCAACGGGUCUCAGGACGCUGCGAAGGGGACCCGGCAGCUGUCUCUUUCCUGCUCAGAAAGCACUGGGGGGAGAGGCGGCUGGGAUGCCGGACUAGUACUACCGACAGGCCAGUAGCCUGCUCCCAGGUUCUCUGGGAGAAAGUUCAGGCUGUCUGCUGAUCUGCUGAGAGCCUGGUGGAAUCCCGCUCUCCCACCUGCAAGGCCUUUUCACUGAGGACUAGUGACCCCGACUCAGUAAGUAGUGGCAGGACCACAGCUGAAGGUCAGAUCAGCUUCACCGAGGAAGAAGAAGGCAGAAAGGCCCCAGCGAUGACGCCAGUGACUUACUUAGGUGAGAGGGGACCACUUUUUCUAGCAGUGGGAGGGGCACAACAUGCUGGGCCGCCAGAAUGUAUCUGGAUUUUAUACCUAGCGCUCUCCUGACGACUUUGUGAACCACUGAGUGUAAUUCUCUAGAUGAAGAACAAAGCCAUGAGGGUAGAACUCAAGAGUUCAUGGGCCGAGAGGCUUGAACUGGGAUCCUCACUCCGGUCCUUGUGCUUUGCGCCACCUGCACUUAACCUGCUGCGCUACCUUCCGACUCCCAAGAGUUAUUCUUUUUUAAUUUUUUAAAAUUUUAUUUAUUUUCC